ACUCCUACGGGAGGCAGCAGUAGGGAAUCUUCGGCAAUGGGGGCAACCCUGACCGAGCAACGCCGCGUGAGUGAAGAAGGUUUUCGGAUCGUAAAGCUCUGUUGUAAGUCAAGAACGAGUGUGAGAGUGGAAAGUUCACACUGUGACGGUAGCUUACCAGAAAGGGACGGCUAACUACGUGCCAGCAGCCGCGGUAAUACGUAGGUCCCGAGCGUUGUCCGGAUUUAUUGGGCGUAAAGCGAGCGCAGGCGGUUUGAUAAGUCUGAAGUUAAAGGCUGUGGCUCAACCAUAGUUCGCUUUGGAAACUGUCAAACUUGAGUGCAGAAGGGGAGAGUGGAAUUCCAUGUGUAGCGGUGAAAUGCGUAGAUAUAUGGAGGAACACCGGUGGCGAAAGCGGCUCUCUGGUCUGUAACUGACGCUGAGGCUCGAAAGCGUGGGGAGCGAACAGGAUUAGAUACCCGUGUAGUCCCAUGA
rnacentral:rRNA from 1 species